GAACGACUCUCGACAACUGAUAUCUAGACUCUUGCAUCGAUGAAGAACGUAGUGAAAUGCGAUACUUGGUGUGAAUUGCAGAAUCCCGUGAACCAUCGAGUCUUUGAACGCAAGUUGCGCCCGAAGCCAUUAGGCUGAGGGCACGCCUGCCUGGGUGUCACAC
rnacentral:rRNA from 1 species